ensembl:lncRNA
AGUGGGAGAUGUGGGUACUGAGGAAUGCUCAUGAAAAAUCAGUGCGUUUUCAGCAUCAUAAGGACAGACCUCUCCAGAGCAGGUUUUCAACAAAGUAACUCAGCGGACAUUUAAAGUUCCUAUUGUGAGUACCAGGGCUUAGCGGAAGUGGUUUGACCAGAGAAAAUCUGUGAUUGCAGUGAGCUUCAUAGCAGCGUUCCUCUUCCUGCUGGUUGUGCGCCUUGUAAAUGAAGCGAAUUUCCCAUUGCUACUAAACUGCUUUGGACAACCUGGUACAAAAUGGAUACCAUUCUCCUAUACGUACAGACGGCCCCUUCGAACUCACUAUGGAUACAUAAAUGUGAGGACGCAAGAGGGAGCAGGGUGGUUUCCAAUCACUGAACUUACUCUCUGCCCUAGUGAGCAUCUUAGGGUCCAUGAUAUUUUCUGUGUUCUCAUUCUUAGACAUUUAUUGACACAUGUCUAAAGGCUGCUGUCCCUCCUACAUCAAAUCUUCUGAUUUACUGGCUUCACGUGGAGUUGAGGAAGCAAUUACCUGUUUUCCUAGUGGUUUGUGGCACAACAUACAUAUCUUUCCAUUCAGAAACUGUGAUCAGCAGUUACCAGCUGGAGAGCUGGCUGGCUUUAUUUCCUGGAGGUCAACUGUUGGGGACAGCUCUCUGUAGAACUGCAGAGAAGCAUUUGUGCUCUUUAAAACUCUGUAAUCCUUAGACCUCAAGCUAGAAAAGGCCAAGCUGAUUUUAAAAUUCUCCAUGGCUGCAGAGAUAAUGGGAUUUAAAGAGUUUCCAAAUUUAAAGGGGUUAAAAUCAUUCAAAUCCUAUAAUCACUGAACCUCUGAAUCUUUGUAGCCAGUUGGUGCUAUAGAAGAGAAUGGAGGUAUAUUGACAAGUAGAAAGUACACACUGUGCCAGCACUGUUGCAAGCAAGGAUUUGUAUCAUGGAGGGAAGUCAAAAUGAAAUGAGCCUCACAAAAUGUAUGAAGUGUACAGAAGUGAUUAAUAAAAUUGCUUUCACUCUUUGUUUCUAUGGAGAGGGAUGAGUGUGAGGUUAAUAUUCAUAAAUACAAAGUCCAAGCCUAUUGGAGGUUGUUGGUGACAAAGGUACAAAUCAUUAGUGUGUCUACAUUACUGGGACGAGUUUGGGGUCAGAUCCCUUUGAAAGGUCAGUUUGUAAAGAUGCCAGAUAGGAGAGUUACCCACAGAAUGCUGCUCCUAUCCCAAGAGUUAUUCUUAGCAUCCGAGAAAGGAUGUUGAAAACUGACUUGGCCCAUCCCCUUUCAUAGGCAAUAUCCAACCAGAGUUAUUGCAUUGAGUUAAUUUGAUCCUUUGAAAAUUGUUUCUCUAUUUGCAGUUAUAUUCACAGACUUUUUAUUAGAACUUUAUCGUUAAAAAAUGGGGGGCACUAUUAAUAACAGACAAAUUCUUAGGAACCUUGCCUGAUGUUUAUCCUUUAAGUGGUUUGAAAUUAAUUUUUUCAAAAGUAUCCAUUGCUUGAAUUUGUUCAGUAUCUUAAUACAGUGAUUACCUAUGGAAACAUUUACCUCUUAGAAAAUGGUUUGUCUCACUCUCAUCUUUUGUUACUUUUGUUUCUGGCUGUCAUUCAGUAUUCUUUAACUCUACCGGAUCAUGUGAAUCAUUUCACAAGUGCCUGACAUG